ensembl:misc_RNA 7SK 7SK RNA
GGAUGUGAGGGCAAUCUGGCUGUGACAUCUGUCACCCCAUUGAUGGCCAGGGUUGAUCCAGCUGAUCUGGCUGGCUAGGCAGGUGUCCCCUUCCUCCCUUACUACUCCAUGUGUGACCCUCCCAAAGCCGCGUGCUCGGUGGAAGAGGACGGUCUUCCCCAAAUAGAGACUGACCUGUCUUAGGUCGAGGGUAUAGCAGUAGCUGCGCCCCCCUGCUAGAACCUCCAAACAAGCUCUCAAUAGUCACAGAUGAAACAAAGCAGGCCUUAGUAAUAAGCAGGCCUGGAUUUUAAUUCUGGCAGCACCAUUGGCUUUGGCU